CCCUAUAAGUCAAGGACCAACAUCCUGUGUUUUUUCUGGAAUAAGGUGAACAGGACUGAAUCUUCCCACCCACCUGUCAGCAGCCUGUCCAUGAAACAUCAGUUCAGUGCAACUCCAAAGUCCUUAGGAAUCUCUCCAUUAACUUUAUUUGGAUUGAUCUAUGAGAUCCUAAUGAUUUCAUUUUAAGACUGGACAGAAUAUAUAUAUAUAUAUACUACUUUGCUUUUUCUAAAGGAAUGUUCUCUCUGUUUUAUGCUUUCCUUUUAUAUGAAAACUUCCUUUGCACUUCUUCACUGCCAUUCUAUUUUCAAUACCCCAUUUUUAUCUGUCAUAGAGGGAAGUCUGAAACUGGAAAGUGUCCCCUUUGUUUCUAUCUCCUUCUGAGACCACAUGACUAGACCUUGCAAAGUGCUGCUAAGUGAUCCUUUUGGAGAGUAAGGGUUGAAAAUUGAGAUCAUUCUCUUGGCCUUUCAGGAGUAACAUGUGAAGUACUUUCCCAGUGAAUUAAUUUGCUUACAUAUUAUUUUAAAUGUUAAGUUUUG